rnacentral:rRNA from 1 species
UGGGGAAUUUUGGACAAUGGGCGAAAGCCUGAUCCAGCAAUGCCGCGUGUGUGAAGAAGGCCUUCGGGUUGUAAAGCACUUUUGUCCGGAAAGAAAUCCUUGGCUCUAAGUACAGUCGGGGGAUGACGGUACCGGAAGAAUAAGCACCGGCUAACUACGUGCCAGCAGCCGCGGUAAUACGUAGGGUGCAAGCGUUAAUCGGAAUUACUGGGCGUAAAGCGUGCGCAGGCGGUUUGCUAAGACCGAUGUGAAAUCCCCGGGCUCAACCUGGGAACUGCAUUGGUGACUGGCAGGCUAGAGUAUGGCAGAGGGGGGUAGAAUUCCACGUGUAGCAGUGAAAUGCGUAGAGAUGUGGAGGAAUACCGAUGGCGAAGGCAGCCCCCUGGGCCAAUACUGACGCUCAUGCACGAAAGCGUGGGGAGCAAACAGGAUUAGAUACCCUGGUAGUCCACGCCCUAAACGAUGUCAACUAGUUGUUGGGGAUUCAUUUCCUUAGUAACGUAGCUAACGCGUGAAGUUGACCGCCUGGGGAGUACGGUCGCAAGAUUAAAACUCAAAGGAAUUGACGGGGUCAUAGCUGUUUCCU